CCUGUGUCCGCCCCACUGCCGGCGUCCUGUGUCCGCCCCACUGCCGGAGACCGGAGCACAGCUCCGUGACCGGAGAGCAUCUCCACCCCGUCCCUCCUCCCUACGACACCCGGCUGUGCUCUCCCCCAUCUCGCCCUCCCGUGUGACCGUUGACGCCACCUCCGGCCGGAAUUCCUGCUCCCCGAAUCCUCUCCAGCCUGCGCUCCAGGGAAUCCAUCCAGGCCGAUUCAUCCUCUCCAAAGAUGGCUCAAAUGAUUCCUGGAGCUUUUGAUGGUACUGGUACAACUAUGCAUCAUAGGAUGCAGCUUUAUUCAGGUCCGCUGUCAACAUUUUAAAUGUUGAUGAUUGGUCGGAUGGCAAAAUUUGAGGAGGUACUUUUUUUUUGUGAAUAAUUUGAGGAGGUACUGAUUGUGGAAGAUGAAAAUGGCAAUAUUUGUCGGAUGGGAAUAUGACACAAUGGAACAUAAUGAUGUCCUUGUCGAGUAUAUAAGAUCAUGAGGGAAACACUGAACUGUUUGUGUCAUCGAGAUCAUGUGGAUACAGCGCAACAUGCAGCCACUUGGACUCAUCGCCACCACACACCAAAGAAAAGACCUCAUGUUGCUGUGAAGAAUGUGGCACAGAUAUUUGAGAUGCAUCGCGUUGAUGUGGAGCCAUACCUAUCAAUACAUUGCAACUAUAAAAUCAGUAUUUCAUAUAUGUACAAUCUGUGCACUAUCUGUUGGAAGUAUAGGACACAUGACCUUCAGUUUGUAUCUGGGUGACUCCAGAUUGUGUAAUAGCCUGCGUAGGACAGAACAUGUUUUCGUCAUUGACAGUGCCUGUUGACUGUUUUUUAAGUUCCCGCAAUUGCCGUCGGCGCUUUAA